UUAAGUUCAGCGGGUAGUCCUACCUGAUUUGAGGUCUAGUCAUGAAAAUGCAGGCCAAAGCCUUGCGAGUUGGAAGCGGACGACACUUACACCAGAUGAAACUUAUUACACCUAGCUUGGGCUGACCCACUAACACAUUCAAGGCGAGCCAAAUGGCAACACCCAAAUCCACAUUCAAAGAAAACUCUUUGAAGUGAUGA
rnacentral:misc_RNA from 1 species